GAACAUUUAGGUAAACCUGGGUGACCUGAUUACACUGUUUUAACGCUCUAACUAAGGUCGAGGGCUGCCCAUGAUUUCAUCAUAAAUUAGGCAAGUAUUUGAGGGAAAUUCUUAAAAAAGAACGGCAUGUCCUCACGUACGGAUCAGCAAGUGAGCAAUGUUCCUGCUGUGCUUUAGAAAGAGGUGCCAGCUCGAUGAGAUGCUGUCGACAUGACAGAAAGCCACCUGCUGCCAAUUUCUACUUCCCAGUAUGAAAACCAGUCUUCUCGUGGAUUAUCGCUGCUGGUAGGAGACAGAAAAUUGCCCCUGCCCUUGCUGACUGUGGUUAACUGGUCGGGGAGUUUCGUAUCCUGGGUCUUGGAAAAUUCAGAGGGGUACAAAGACACAAAAUGACAGGAAGAGGUCGGGACACCCUGUGACAAUGGAGAACACAGCCACGUAUUCUACAUACUCAUCUGGCAUGAGAGCUACCAGUGGAAUUCAUGCCCAGAAAGUUUCAGAGGGACCCUCAAGGGUAGCUUUUUACCAGGUUCCAAGGAUGCUUCAGGCAACUUCCAAACAUCUAUAGCAGUAUCAUCUGCAGGUGGCUUCUUGGCGGCUUUCCAGUGAGUCCUACUGAUGCCACAGCCAAUUCCCCGCGCCUGGGUAGCUCAGUCAGUUAAGCGUCCGACUUCAGCUCAGGUCAUGAUCUCACGGUCUGUGAGUUCGAGCCCCGUGUCAGGCUCUGUGUUGACAGCUCAGAGCCUGGAGCCUGCUUCAGAUUCCGUGUCUCCCUCUCUCUCUCUGCCCCUUCCCUGCUCAUGCUCUGUCUCUCCCUCUCUCCCAAAA